rnacentral:rRNA from 1 species
GAUGAACGCUAGCUAUAGGCUUAACACAUGCAAGUCGAGGGGAAACGGCAUUAUGUGCUUGCACAUUUUGGACGUCGACCGGCGCAUGGGUGAGUAUCGCGUAUCCAACCUGCCCUUUACUUGGGGAUACCCCGUUGAAAGACGGCCUAAUACCCGAUGUAAUUCAUUGAUGGCAUCAGAUAUGAAUAAAAGAUUUAUCGGUAAAGGAUGGGGAUGCGUCUGAUUAGCUUGAUGGUGAGGUAACGGCUCACCAAGGCGACGAUCAGUAGGGGUUCUGAGAGGAAGGUCCCCCACAUUGGAACUGAGACACGGUCCAAACUCCUACGGGAGGCAGCAGUGAGGAAUAUUGGUCAAUGGGCGCAAGCCUGAACCAGCCAAGUAGCGUGCAGGAAGACGGCCCUAUGGGUUGUAAACUGCUUUUAUACGAGAAUAAUUUGAUGCACGUGUGCGUUAUUGCAUGUAUCGUAUGAAUAAGGACCGGCUAAUUCCGUG